rnacentral:rRNA from 1 species
ACCCAGUGUGAUUCGUCACACUAUCAUUAACUGAAUCCAUAGGUUAAUGAGGCGAACCGGGGGAACUGAAACAUCUAAGUACCCCGAGGAAAAGAAAUCAACCGAGAUUCCCCCAGUAGCGGCGAGCGAACGGGGAGCAGCCCAGAGCCUGAAUCAGUGUGUGUGUUAGUGGAAGCGUCUGGAAAGGCGCGCGAUACAGGGUGACAGCCCCGUACACAAAAAUGCACAUACUGUGAGCUCGAUGAGUAGGGCGGGACACGUGGUAUCCUGUCUGAAUAUGGGGGGACCAUCCUCCAAGGCUAAAUACUCCUGACUGACCGAUAGUGAACCAGUACCGUGAGGGAAAGGCGAAAAGAACCCCGGCGAGGGGAGUGAAAAAGAACCUGAAACCGUGUACGUACAAGCAGUGGGAGCCUCUUUAUGGGGUGACUGCGUACCUUUUGUAUAAUGGGUCAGCGACUUAUAUUCUGUAGCAAGGUUAACCGAAUAGGGGAGCCGAAGGGAAACCGAGUCUUAACUGGGCGUUAAGUUGCAGGGUAUAGACCCGAAACCCGGUGAUCUAGCCAUGGGCAGGUUGAAGGUUGGGUAACACUAACUGGAGGACCGAACCGACUAAUGUUGAAAAAUUAGCGGAUGACUUGUGGCUGGGGGGGAAAGGCCAAUCAAACCGGGAGAUAGCUGGUUCUCCCCGAAAGCUAUUUAGGUAGCGCCUCGUGAAUUCAUCUCCGGGGGUAGAGCACUGUUUCGGCAAGGGGGUCAUCCCGACUUACCAACCCGAUGCAAACUGCGAAUACCGGAGAAUGUUAUCACGGGAGACACACGGCGGGUGCUAACGUCCGUCGUGAAGAGGGAAACAACCCAGACCGCCAGCUAAGGUCCCAAAGUCAUGGUUAAGUGGGAAACGAUGUGGGAAGGCCCAGACAGCCAGGAUGUUGGCUUAGAAGCAGCCAUCAUUUAAAGAAAGCGUAAUAGCUCACUGGUCGAGUCGGCCUGCGCGGAAGAUGUAACGGGGCUAAACCAUGCACCGAAGCUGCGGCAGCGACGCUUAUGCGUUGUUGGGUAGGGGAGCGUUCUGUAAGCCUGCGAAGGUGUACUGUGAGGUAUGCUGGAGGUAUCAGAAGUGCGAAUGCUGACAUAAGUAACGAUAAAGCGGGUGAAAAGCCCGCUCGCCGGAAGACCAAGGGUUCCUGUCCAACGUUAAUCGGGGCAGGGUGAGUCGACCCCUAAGGCGAGGCCGAAAGGCGUAGUCGAUGGGAAACAGGUUAAUAUUCCUGUACUUGGUGUUACUGCGAAGGGGGGACGGAGAAGGCUAUGUUGGCCGGGCGACGGUUGUCCCGGUUUAAGCGUGUAGGCUGGUUUUCCAGGCAAAUCCGGAAAAUCAAGGCUGAGGCGUGAUGACGAGGCACUACGGUGCUGAAGCAACAAAUGCCCUGCUUCCAGGAAAAGCCUCUAAGCAUCAGGUAACAUCAAAUCGUACCCCAAACCGACACAGGUGGUCAGGUAGAGAAUACCAAGGCGCUUGAGAGAACUCGGGUGAAGGAACUAGGCAAAAUGGUGCCGUAACUUCGGGAGAAGGCACGCUGAUAUGUAGGUGAAGCGACUUGCUCGUGGAGCUGAAAUCAGUCGAAGAUACCAGCUGGCUGCAACUGUUUAUUAAAAACACAGCACUGUGCAAACACGAAAGUGGACGUAUACGGUGUGACGCCUGCCCGGUGCCGGAAGGUUAAUUGAUGGGGUUAGCGGUAACGCGAAGCUCUUGAUCGAAGCCCCGGUAAACGGCGGCCGUAACUAUAACGGUCCUAAGGUAGCGAAAUUCCUUGUCGGGUAAGUUCCGACCUGCACGAAUGGCGUAAUGAUGGCCAGGCUGUCUCCACCCGAGACUCAGUGAAAUUGAACUCGCUGUGAAGAUGCAGUGUACCCGCGGCAAGACGGAAAGACCCCGUGAACCUUUACUAUAGCUUGACACUGAACAUUGAGCCUUGAUGUGUAGGAUAGGUGGGAGGCUUUGAAGUGUGGACGCCAGUCUGCAUGGAGCCGACCUUGAAAUACCACCCUUUAAUGUUUGAUGUUCUAACGUUGGCCCCUAAUCGGGGUUGCGGACAGUGUCUGGUGGGUAGUUUGACUGGGGCGGUCUCCUCCUAAAGAGUAACGGAGGAGCACGAAGGUUGGCUAAUCCUGGUCGGACAUCAGGAGGUUAGUGCAAUGGCAUAAGCCAGCUUGACUGCGAGCGUGACGGCGCGAGCAGGUGCGAAAGCAGGUCAUAGUGAUCCGGUGGUUCUGAAUGGAAGGGCCAUCGCUCAACGGAUAAAAGGUACUCCGGGGAUAACAGGCUGAUACCGCCCAAGAGUUCAUAUCGACGGCGGUGUUUGGCACCUCGAUGUCGGCUCAUCACAUCCUGGGGCUGAAGUAGGUCCCAAGGGUAUGGCUGUUCGCCAUUUAAAGUGGUACGCGAGCUGGGUUUAGAACGUCGUGAGACAGUUCGGUCCCUAUCUGCCGUGGGCGCUGGAGAACUGAGGGGGGCUGCUCCUAGUACGAGAGGACCGGAGUGGACGCAUCACUGGUGUUCGGGUUGUCAUGCCAAUGGCACUGCCCGGUAGCUAAAUGCGGAAGAGAUAAGUGCUGAAAGCAUCUAAGCACGAAACUUGCCCCGAGAUGAGUUCUCCCUGACUCCCUGAGAGUCCUGAAGGAACGUUGAAGACGACGACGUUGAUAGGCCGGGUGUGUAAGCGCAGCGAUGCGUUGAGCUAACCGGUACUAAUGAACCGUGAGGCUUAACCUU